rnacentral:rRNA from 1 species
UACGAAGGGGGCUAGCGUUGUUCGGAAUUACUGGGCGUAAAGCGUAUGCAGGCGGACUUUUAAGUCGGGGGUGAAAUCCCGAGGCUCAACCUCGGAACUGCCUUCGAUACUGGAAGUCUUGAGUCCGGGAGAGGUGAGUGGAACUCCGAGUGUAGAGGUGAAAUUCGUAGAUAUUCGCAAGAACACCAGUGGCGAAGGCGGCUUACUGGUCCGGUUCUGACGCUGAGGCGCGAAAGCGUGGGGAGCAAACGGG